rnacentral:rRNA from 1 species
GAUGAACGCUGGCGGCGUGCCUAAUACAUGCAAGUCGAGCGAACAGACGAGGAGCUUGCUCCUCUGACGUUAGCGGCGGACGGGUGAGUAACACGUGGAUAACCUACCUAUAAGACUGGGAUAACUUCGGGAAACCGGAGCUAAUACCGGAUAAUAUAUUUAACCGUAUGGUUCAAUAGUGAAAGACGGUUUUGCUGUAACUUAUAGAUGGAUCCGCGCCUCAUUAGCUAGUUGGUAAGUUAACGGCUUACCAAGGCGACUAUGCGUAGCCGACCUGAGGGGGUGAUCGGCCACACUGGAACUGAGACACGGUCCAGACUCCUACGGGAGGCGGCAGUAGGGAAUCUUCCGCAAUGGGCGAAGGCCUGACGGAGCAACGCCGCGUGAGUGAUGAAGGUCUUCGGAUCGUAAACCUCUUUUAUUAGGGAAGAACAAAUGUGUAAGUAACUAUGCACGUCUUGACGGUACCUAAUCAGAAAGCCACGGCUAACUACGUG